GAAGUCCGCCAGGCAGCCGCGGCACCGCGAGGUGACGAGGAAAGUCCGGGCCCCAUAGAGCAGGAUGCCGGCUAACGGCCGGGCGCAGCAAGUCGAAAGACCCAAGGCGACAGAAAGUGCAACAGAAAGAUACCGCCUAAGUCCGCAACCCGUUUGCGGGCCGGCAAGGGUGAAAUGGCGGGGUAAGAGCCCACCGCGGACCUGGUAACAGGGACGGCACGGCAAACCUCAUCCGGGGCAAGGCCAAAUAGGGGAGCAAUGGCGUGGCUCGCGCCGCUCCCGGGUAGGCUGCUCGAGCCCGUCGGCAACGACGGGCCUAGAGGAAUGGCUGCCCACGACAGAACCCGGCUUAUCGGCGGACUUCCACC
rnacentral:RNase_P_RNA from 1 species